UAGAGAGAAAACUUGUGUCGUGACUUUUUACGCUUAUAUUUGCAAUAAUAAUUGUUAAACAAUUGUAAAUUGUUGAUAAAUCGGUUAAUUAAUUUAUUCUGAACAGAUUGUGAUAUAAAUUAUUAUGAACUUUUGUGAAUUUUGUCCAAAAUUAAUGGACAUGUCAGAGCUUUUGGAGCUGACAAAGGCAGCUAUUAAUUUGUUGAAUAAUGGACAGAUAACAUAUUGUGCUAUAAAUUGUUGCUGACUUUUGUGAAAUUUGACAAAAAUAAAUGGACAUGUCAAUGGUGUUGGAGCUGACAAAGUAAAAUCUUUAUUUGGCAAAUAAUGGACGAAUGAUAACAAAAAGUGUUCCUGAAACGUCUAAUGUGUUCGUGAAGUUCAUAAAACAAAAUCAUUAAAACUAGGACCAACUAAAAUGAUUGAUUUGGUCUGUUAUUUGAUAUCCAAAUUAUAACAUGAUGAUAUGAAUACCAAGAAUUGAUGAUCAUGUUUAGAAUGUCAUUUAUAAGCUACCUUGUCUUUGCUAUUAAGAAGUUUGAGAAUUAAUUGAAAGCAUCCUAAAUCAUUUAUCAGUAUAAGAAUCAAAUACUGUUACAAGUCAACUAUCAACAAAAAAAAGCUAUCAUCUCAUGCAUGAAUCUCUUUGAGAUAUAGUGAGUUUACUUGAUUUUAUUUUAUAAAAUAAAAGUAUAGUCCUAAAUUCCCCCAAUGAUCAAUCAAUAUUUAUUUGUAAUUUUAUUUUGCUUUAGUAUCACAGAUAAAAUUACUAUCAAGAUGAUUAUGCUUCAACAAUAAUGAUUUCUGAUAAUUAAAAAUUAUUCUUCAAUUGAAUUUACAAAAUAUGAAGUGUCAAUGAAUGCUCUAACAUCAUUCAUGAAUUGUCUUACAAGAUUUUAUCAGCAAAUUUGAUAAUAUCUUGAAUUAAAACAAUAGCAUUAUACGAUGCUAAUGUACCACUCUUUAUUGACAAGUAUCUA